GGUCUGAUGGUCUAGUAGUAUGAUUCCUUGUUAGGGUUAUUUCGUGCGUGAAUCACGUGCCUCGAGGAGGCCCCGGGUUCAAUUCCCGGUCAGACCC